rnacentral:rRNA from 1 species
CCUGAGAAACCCAAAAGAUCGAAUGGGGAGAUUCAUCGUCAGCGGCUUUGGCUUACGUGCGGUACGCGAUGGCGGGGACCUCGGUCUCGCGUCACGCUGCCGCUGCGGCAUGUCCGGAGUCGUCGGCGUGCACUUCUCCCCUAGUAGGACGUCGCGACCCGUUGGGUGUCGGAUCGAUGGCCGGUCGGUCGUCUGUUGCGCUCGCGCUUCAGACCGAUUCGGUCGAAAGUCCGACUGCCCGGCGGUAUUGAACGAUAUGAACUGGUAUCGGGCCGCACUCGAAUGCGUUCAGGCUCGUCGGCAGGCUCGUCUCGCUCGGAUUUACGGACCUAGUGCCGUUGCCGGGCGCUUGGCGUGGCUGUUAGUCGACGAUGUCCUCGGACUGGCUCUUACCCGUCGG